UUCCCUUCACCGCCAAGAUUUUGAAGACAACCAAGUUCCAAUUUUUUUUUCUUUUUCCUUCUUCAAUUUGCAGAGAACUUCUAAGAGAGAGUUUGGAAGAAGAAGAGAAAUUUUACUAGAAUUUUUAGGUUGAAGAAGAGGAGGAGAACUCAAGCAAAGUGUAUCCAUGGCUGAAUUUUAGUUCAUUCUGCACAUCACUGGUUUUUAAUUCGGUUUGAACUCUUCAAAAGGAAUUAAGAGAAAACAGGGCAGUUGGUUUUUACUCGAAAUCAGGAGGUCUCUGGUUUUUCUUGUAUUUCAGAGUGUAUCGGUAGAGUUAGAAUCUCUAUUUAGUAUGGUUGGAAAUAUUAUUCAAUUUACUAUAACUUUCAUGAAGAAAUUGUAAACCAAAAACGACUAAAAAUCAGUUAAAUUGUAGGGACAAGUUAAAGAGGUCGUGUGCGCGCGAUUCUGGAAGUGGUUCUGUUUUGAGGGUUAUAUGUGUUUAUGCAUGGGGAAUCAGAUUUAUAUGUCUUGAGGCCGAGAAGAAUUAAACUGAGCUUAUAGACCAAGGAUCUAGCCCAAGACUGUAGAGAUCGACUUCCCGGUGCCUGAUAGACUGCCUUAGUCUGCGGAAGCUUCAUUAUCGAUUGCCAGUACGUGUUUUGAGUUGGGCAUAGAGUCUGUUGUGUUGUGGUGUAUAUACACCCUUGUAUGUUAUAGAUACUCCACAGUUUGUAGAAGCUUUAGGAGCUGUAGUUGUGUAAAUUUUGUUGGUUAUAUUUUGAUUAAGGUGUCUUUAGGUUUACUCGUGAAAUCGGUAAAUUUUGAGGUACACUUCAUGUAUGUGUUUGACUAGCCUAGGAUCCGCUGUGUUUUGUGGCAUGUACAAUAGUUUAUAUACUAGAUUGGCAAGUUCAUCACAUGAAAGUUUUAAGCAGAGUCGACAGAUACAGGUACAGCAAAGCGUUGUUCGUCGGCUUCACGCCAUCUUUCGGUCUAAGGUAGCAGGUAGUCCGGGAGGGGGUGUGACACUAACACUUCCUCUAUGACCACUACAUGAACUGUGCAUUCCAAGUGAACAAUUAAACCAUUUGUCAUGGUUAAUUAUGAUUUCAACUUUUAAUAUGUAUAAGAAAUAAACAAUAUAAUUGUUUUCAUGCAAGAACAAUCACGGACGAACAAGGCUACUACAUUGAAGUAGUCUUACAAUCAUAGCAGCGGGUUAAAGUCGUUUCUACAAUGAUAACACGAGCUCAUUGAACAAAGAGGGAAGUCGGUCGACCGUGUGGAGUUGUUCCAGAAAACACACGUUAGAGCCGGGACGUUCGUGUCGCAGGCCACAGAGGAUGCGCAUAAUCAAAUGCUGAAACUUCAGUCUCAGCCUACCCCAGAGGGUAGUCAGCCACUCUCUAGGGAUGAAAUAUGCAAUCAAGUGUUGGGCAGAUGACCAGGCAACUAAAAAGGCCUUGGUUGGAGACCCAAGUCGAAGGCCCGUAAGAUGACAAGUGCGAGUAGUUCCUCGACGUCAUGUUCACAAUUCACAGAAAGAGAGAUUCAAUUACAAGCUAAGCUUGAUCAAACUUUGGAAUGGAUUGAAGAGUAAACAAUAAAUCACCAAGCGUUGGCUUUAGAAGUGGAACAAAUACGAAAGCUGAUAUAAGACAUGACUCGGGCAUAGCAAGGACUACCACAUGAUCCCCAGCUUUGUGGACCCGCGAUGUAGAAUGACAUUUGAGGCUUGUUAGAAGACGUACGACUUUCUUUGCAUUUUUUCCUAUUAUGAACAUUAUAUUUUUUGUAUUAUGAACGCUAUUAUAUUUUUUGAACUUCUUUGUAUUAUCAAUAUUAAACUUUUUUGUUGAA